UACGGAGGAUGCGAGCGUUAUCCGGAUUUAUUGGGUUUAAAGGGUGCGCAGGCGGCCUGUUAAGUCAGCGGUAAAAGCCCGGGGCCCAACCCCGGGACUGCUCUGGAAACUGUUAAGCUGGAGUGCGGGAGGGGCAGGCGGAAUUCCUGGUGUAGCGGUGAAAUGCGUAGAUAUCAGGAGGAACACCGGCGGCGAAGGCGGCCUGCUGGACCGUGACUGACGUUGAGGCUCGAAAGCGUGGGGAGCAAACAGG
rnacentral:rRNA from 1 species